rnacentral:pre_miRNA from 1 species
AGUGGAAUAACUGGGUAAAAUGGUGGUUCCAUUCCUACUUUUUCCUGAGGAAUUUCCAUAUUUCUUUCCAGAGUAGUUGUACCAAUUUGCAGUUCCAUCAGGAAU